AACAAAGGAUAAAAUGGUCUGAAUGUAGGAAAAUUUUGACCUAGUUUUCCCUGGAAAUUGUUGAAGAAAACUAAGUGUGAAACCAAGCUGUCUUUGGCUUCUAUUUUCCGGUCAAAACUCCAUAUUCACUUUGAUGGUGACAUUAAUGUUGUCUUCAUCUUUUUAACAAUUCUUCAUGAUACAUGUAAUAAAAUUUAUUAAAGUAAAUUCAAUUUAGUUAGUAAUUUUUGAAUGGGUUUCAGAU
rnacentral:lncRNA from 1 species